GACGAACGCUGGCGGCGUGCUUAACACAUGCAAGUCGAACGGAAAGGCCCUGCUUUUGUGGGGUGCUCGAGUGGCGAACGGGUGAGUAACACGUGAGUAACCUGCCCUUGACUUUGGGAUAACUUCAGGAAACUGGGGCUAAUACCGGAUAGGAGCUCCUGCUGCAUGGUGGGGGUUGGAAAGUUUCGGCGGUUGGGGAUGGACUCGCGGCUUAUCAGCUUGUUGGUGGGGUAGUGGCUUACCAAGGCUUUGACGGGUAGCCGGCCUGAGAGGGUGACCGGCCACAUUGGGACUGAGAUACGGGCCAGAGUCCUACGGGAGGCAGCAGUGGGGAAUAUUGCACAAUGGGCGGAAGCAUGAUGCAGCAACGCCGCGUGCGGGAUGACGGCCUUCGGGUUGGAAACCGCUUUCGCCUGUGACGAAGCGUGAGUGACGGUAAUGGGUAAAGAAGCACCGGCUAACUACGUG
rnacentral:rRNA from 1 species